UUUUUUUUUUAUUGUAGUUUUGUUUUCAUUUUUCCCCCUUUUCAGUAAGCUGUCUAGUAAAAGCCGUAACCCACAGUGUAUAACGUAAAACUAGGUGGGUGGUCAAGGCUCUCUGGGAUCCUAUUAUGUGGUAUUGUGGCUCCAAGAUCCAACUGUUUUUACGUUUUCUCAAUCUAUCAUUUGCUUUUUUGUCCUUUAUUAUUUCAGUUGUUCUGUAAACUUUGGAGGAAUACAAAGAGUUCAUAGGAAUGACCAUCUCUGGUCAUUUUAUAGAUAUAUGCUAAUGUUAAGGAGCAUAUAUAAAUAUCUACAUAUAUGUGUGAAAUGUUUGAUGGGACAACUAUUCCAUAGCAAAAGUACUGAAUUAGAGACAGAUCAUCUACUGAAUUAUGCUAUGUGUGUAAUAUUUGUGAAAAUUUUGUCUUACGUACAUAUCCAACAUUAACCAAUGCUGAUGGUUAAAAAUUACAAUAUCUAUCUUUAUGACAAAAUAAAGGUAUAUGCCUUACACAAGUCUAUCUGAGCAGAUGAUGGAAGCCUGGUUCUCUAAUUGUGGAAGGAAUGGUGACCUUGUUUCUAUGCACAAAUCACCUGGAAUGUUAAAUUCCCUAAAGUAUAAACAAACUUUAAGAAUUAUUUGUUAAUUAAAUUGAUGUUUCCAUCUGUAGAUCGAGAUAUUGUUGUUAAUUCUUCAGGAAUGAUAGAUACGUAUCGAUAAAUGUCAUACACUUGAACAUCCAGCAAUCUAACAUAGAGAAAAGCACAUAAGAUCAGAGAUAUACUUACUUAUUUUUCUAAAACUUUUGUUCUUCCUCUUUGAUGUAUCUUUUAUUUGCUGUACUUAAAUUAUGUCAAUAAGGUGAAUCAAUUAAAUCAAAUUUUUUCCCCAGGCUAGAUAUGUGGAAAAGCAAACUGACCAUUCUGUAAAGAUGAUUUUCUGAUACUUUGUGGUAACAACUGCUAAUUUUGUUUAUAAAAACCACAGGAACAUGAUUCUUAAAAUAUGAAUUAGAAUAUUAGAAUGAAUAGAUCAUGCAAAGAAUGAUGCCUGGUUAUUCCAAUACUCUAUCAAACCUACUAACAUAUUCGAUUAUGGGGUACCAUUUGCUGAUGUUUUGGAAACUCAAAAGUUCUUAAGCGUCCAGGCUACAUUAUGGAUGUAGAUUUGUGUGCCAUGGAAAUAACUGAAUUCUUUUUGUCUUUUUUUGUCUUCAGUGCUACAACCCUAUUUCAUGUCAUUAUUACCUUUUUUCUUGGUGACUGUAUCAUCUUCCUAACCCUUUCUUUGGUCCAGGUUUCUCAUCUCCAAUCUACCUCUAUCAUAUCAUUGUAGACUAAUAUUUCUAAAUCCCACCUCUAAUAAUAAAUAGGGUAAUUCAAAAGUCCAUCAAAUUAAAUAUGAAUUCUUCAGUAUGACAUUUGUGGGUUCCUCUACUAAACUUUCUGCUUAUGCAAAUUCAAAUCCUCUACUGGAAACAUGGACUCAAAGUAAAUUGAGUUCAUUAAUCCAGAUACACAGUCUAUGCUUUUGUUUCUUAAUGACUUUGCCUAGGCUAUGCACACUACAUGGAUGCUCAGGUCAAAAACCUAACUCCACCUUAAGUGCUAUCUUAAAUAGCAUGUAUUUCUGCCAGGUUUGGCUCUAGUGAAAAUAAUCUAUCUGCCCUCUCAGUACCCUCUGUGGGAUUCUUUACAAGCUGUUACUUGUAUUCUAGUCAUGGAUAUCAUAGUUGCCUAUGUCUUGGGGCUUUUAUGUCUUCACUCAAUAUAAGGGGUUUAUCAGCAUUUAUCUGAUUAAAUUUGUUAACAUGGUGGCCUAAGCCACCAUGUUUCAAAUUUAGCCACACAUUGAAAUCACUAAGGGAAUGUACAAAAAUAUUGAGACCUGAGUCCCACUGGUAGAGAUACUGAAUUUGCUUGGCAAGUAGUCUGUUCAUUGAAAUUAAAAAAAAAAAAAUCUCAAGGUCACUCUUAUAUGCAGCAAAUUUGAGGACCAAAGGCUCUGCUAACUCUGGGAUUACCCAAAAUGUCGUUUGGAAUGUGUAUAUUGACAGUCUCCUAUGGCUAUUUGGUUGAUAGAUUUAUGCCCAUCUUAACUCUGUGAGCAGAUGAACUCUUCAAUUAGAUCCAAAAUGUGGCUUCCCCAGACCAAUUCCAACCUUAUCUUUAACUCUAAACAAUAUUAUUAGGAAAUGCUUAUUUCAGGUUUAAAAGUUAAAAUAUAUUAAUCCUACUUGCUAAUUUUUUGGGAGCACCAAUCAUUAUUAUAAUCAAGAUACUAAUUAUAAAAAAAGAAAAGGUUAGUAUAUAAAUUGAUCAGUUUAAAAUUAUGUACACAUAUUACACUUUACUAUCAUCUCCAAAGUAGAAGUGAAUCUUAAGCUUAUGACUUAAAAAUAGUUUUAAGCAUUGUGACAAAGCAUUGUCUUAAAUUUUGCUUUUAGAAAAGGGCAGAUGAGAGGAGAAAAAUCUAUGCAGUUCUUCUCAUCACAUAGAAUUUGCAUUUGUACAACUCUGUACAGGCAUUUUCUUAAGCCUGAUUUAGGAUGAAAAGAUGAUAUACUGUACCAGGGGGACAUAGUACAUGUUUACAGUAUUUUCUUUCUUAAAAUAAUCUAUAAAAUAAUAAAGGCAGGGAUAACAAUAUCUACCCUAUAAGGCAGCUGUUUGGUGAAUAAAACUAAUAAUUUUGACAGAGAUUUUUAGUUUGAGUGUAUUGGUUUGAGUUGUUUUUCUAGAAGGUUUGGAUUCUCUCUGAUCCCUGUCCCUCUCUCAUUCUUGCACAUUGAAGGACAUCAGGUGUUUCUGAGGUGAGCAGGUGGCCACAGGCAUCUUUGACAGAAUAUGGAUGUUCCACUAUCAGGAGAAUCAAACUCAUGCCCUAAACUGGCUCUUGCAAACACUAUAUUCUAAGCAAUAAAGAUUAGAAAUGUAGAUGCUGAAUUUUCUGAUCCUUGACUUUAACAGGCAAAACAGAGAAGGGGGCUGUGGUGUUCAUACUGUGUGAACCUUUCACUGCACUCAAACCCAAGAAUAUAUCUCAAGACAAGCUUUCUAUUCAUGAACCCAUUUCCA
rnacentral:lncRNA from 1 species